rnacentral:rRNA from 1 species
GACAGAGGGUGCAAGCGUUAAUCGGAAUAAUUGGGCGUAAAGGGCGUGUAGGCGGCCAUACAGGUCAGCUGUGAAAACUCGAGGCUCAACCUCGAGACGUCGGUUGAAACCGUAUGGCUAGAGUCCGGAAGAGGAGAGUGGAAUUCCCGGUGUAGCGGUGAAAUGCGCAGAUAUCGGGAAGAACACCCGUGGCGAAGGCGGCUCUCUGGGACGGUACUGACGCUGAGACGCGAAAGCGUGGGGAGCGAACAGG